UACGUAGGGUGCAAGCGUUGUCCGGAAUUAUUGGGCGUAAAGAGCUCGUAGGCGGUCUGUCGCGUCGGCUGUGAAAACCCGGAGCUCAACUCCGGGCCUGCAGUCGAUACGGGCAGACUGGAGUUCGGCAGGGGAGACUGGAAUUCCUGGUGUAGCGGUGAAAUGCGCAGAUAUCAGGAGGAACACCGGUAGCGAAGGCGGGUCUCUGGGCCGAUACUGACGCUGAGGAGCGAAAGCGUGGGGAGCGAACAGG
rnacentral:rRNA from 1 species